AUGGUUUUCCGGGACCUACGCCUAUUUAACCAAGCCCUCCUUGCUAAACAGGCGUGGCGACUUAUUCAAUUUCUGGACAGCUUAUGUGCUAGAUUAUUGAAGGCAAGAUAUUAUCCACAUGGCAACCUGGCUGAUACUGCCUUUAUCCAGAACGCAUCUCCGUGUUGGCAAGGAAUCUUUCAUGGUCUAGAUCUUCUUAAGAAAUGCAUUAUCUAGAGAAUUGGUGUAGGCGAUAAAGUUAAAGUAUGGAGGGAUAAUUGGAUUCCAAGGGGAAAUCUAAAAAUCUCCGGGAAACAAUCUCGAACUAGGAUAAAAUGGGUCUCUGAGCUUAUCGACCCAGUGUCAAGGACAUGGAAUGAGGAAUUGGUUAGGAACAUAUUCCUACCUCAUAAUGUGGAUGAAGUGUUAAAAAUUCGUCUCUCACAGUCUAACUCCGAGGAUUUUAUUGCAUGGCAUUUUGAAUGCUCCAGUGUAUUCUCAGUUCGUAGUGCGUACAGGCUGGCUGUUAAUGAUAAGGAUGGGAAUGGUGAUAUGGGACAAAGUAGUACCGAGCCAUCUGGAGAAAGAAAGAUCUGGAGUGUGCUUUGGAAAGCAAAUGCCCCUCCCCCCAAAUUAGAAACUUUGGAUGGCGUUUGGCGACAGAAUCUCUUGGAGUUCAGACAAAUAGACAUAAGAGAGAUUUAG
rnacentral:rRNA from 1 species